AGAUUCGAAAGCGUGGGUAGCAAACAGGAUUAGAUACCCUGGUAGUCCACGCCGUAAACGAUGUCUACUAGCCGUUGGGGUCCUUGAGACUUUAGUGGCGCAGUUAACGCGAUAAGUAGACCGCCUGGGGAGUACGCACGCAAGUGUGAAACUCAAAGGAAUUGACGGGGGCCCGCACAAGCGGUGGAGGAUGUGGUUUAAUUCGAUGCAACGCGAAGAACCUUACCAAGGCUUGACAUGUCGCGAAUCCUUCAGAGAUGAGGGAGUGCCUUCGGGAGCGCGAACACAGGUGGUGCAUGGCUGUCGUCAGCUCGUUUCGUGAGAUGUUGGGUUAAGUCCCGCAACGAGCGCA
rnacentral:rRNA from 1 species